rnacentral:lncRNA from 1 species
ACAACUCAACUUCGAUGAUUUUGGCUCACCUCGGACGGCUGUGUAAUUGAGAAAACUCAUCUAUUGAUAACUAUGUUUUCUAAUGCUCUGUGAUUUUCAGGAAAAUAAUUUGUUUAUGCGAACAAUCAAUCAAUUCAUUGGACUUAGUCAGGACUUGUGACAUCAGAAUGUAAAUGGAAAAUUUUCAGUUUCCACAUUUUCUUCAUUUGCACAUGCUUUUCAGCGAAGAUCAUGGCAGAUAUCAUUUGAAUGCUAUAAUUAAUUCAGGCAGGAGACAACUCAUAUAAUUUUUAAAAUUUACUUUAACCUCCAGUUGGUGCAUGAUGUCAACAACCUCCAGGAAAAAUAUCAAUAAUGAUGUCACAACCAAACACGCCCCUCGUUAGGGAAAAUGAAAGAAAACAUAUCAUUAUACAAAUUCAUAGGCAGGGCUACGUACCAAAUUUGGGUGUCAUCUAAUGGAUAUCAGUGUGAACCUCUCUUUGAAAUAAAUUAGUAUACUGAUUUAGGACCUGGUAAUAUGUUGAGCUAUUACUAGGUUCGGUGUUUAUGAUGAUUCCGGGUUAAUAAAUAUUCCGGUGGGCUGUCCCAUGCAGUAGAUGAGGUGCGAAGACAGAAAAAUAAGAUGUUCGAUGUUCUUCAAGCCGCUGCGGUUUCAGUGCUUCGGAAUGUCUAUGGAAUCAGAGCAACAAGAAUGAAUAGAUAUUCACGAGAGCCCGCAGAAACAGGUGACUGAAAAAGGGAUGUGAAGCCACACACACAUGCACAUAGCAACGAUAGAAAUGGGGAACAAUUUUGUUAAGUCUUAAUCGAUUGAGACUUCGUUAUGUCUCAGUCGAUGCUAUAUGUGUUUGUCCUGCAUUGAGAUACAUAUAAUUUCUUAUUUUCAAUUUUUCUGUUCUGUUCUUAUAUACUUUGUCAUUUGACUAAGACUUGAUUAAAUCUCAGUUGAUUGAGACGUAGCCACACCCAAUAGGGAAUGAUAUUUGAUCUCAAAAAUGCUUUCUUUCACUUGAUUUUAUGAUAUAAGAAGAAAGCAGCCACAACCAAAAUACAGGCAAGCAACUAGGGAGACCGAAGGAUAAAAGCUUCUUGGGCUGGAAUUUGUGCCGAAAAUCCAUGGACAAAUACAUGGAGGCUCUAAUCGAAAUCCAUAAAUACAUGGAGGUUCUUGGUUCUCACACACUAUUGCAGGUGCCUUUUUAGUUUCAGCGGGUGAGAAAAAACAGAGUUGAAAAACAGAGUUACGAGACACGGUAGUAAAUCAGAGGCAGUGUUUAGGGGGAGCGACUGAUUGAUGAACUGCCAACCUAUCUAAUCUAACGACUAUCUAGUACCUUGCGAGAGUGGUAGUACUUGUUGGGUAGUGGUGGACUGGUGGUGAUCCAUGGCGCCAGGCGAACCAUCCAAUUUUUGGCCAGUCACCGCACAGCCUUAUGAUUGAGACCCGCACCCGCAGCGCAUCGUUGGAUCACGUCUCUCCUUUCCCAGCAACUUUUUUUUGAGAAACUCCUCUCAGCAAUUUUUUUUUGAGAAACUCCUCUCCCAGCAACUGUUGCCUCGAUUUAUUUUCCUCCCCAAAAGAACAUAGUGGCCGUAGGCCCAAAUGCACAACAUGAUGGCCCGCGGCCAUAUUCUAUGGCCACUGUCUCCCCUUCCCAUCGCACAUCGCCGCGGCUCGCCGUUGUUGUUUGCCACAAUGUCGUUUGCUUAAGCAUAUCUACUGCGGGUUAUAAUAAACUUGUUCCCGGUCGUAUAGAUUCCACAAAGAAAACCAAAAAACGCGUCAACUAAAUUUGGAAUGGUAAAUUUUUAAUGGAUGAUCGAACUAGAGUUAACAAAAGGUGUUAACUUACAACGGAAUUUGUCCGGUACAUUUGUUUGGAUGAUAUCUAUCAACCUUCGUAAUAAAUGUAGCCACACGGUUUAUUUAUCUUCGAUUAGUGCUCUCUUGAAUUGGAUAUUUAAUGAAUUUAAGCUUAAAACUGCACUAACAUAGUCUUACCCGUGUUGGACAAUAUUAUAAAGAGACGAUACCCUACCGAUAAAAUUAAUAACCCAAACACACACAGUUUGUUUGUCUUUAUGUUUGUACAAUCUAUGCCACAUGGUUCAGCUAAUGCCAGGUCAUGAGAACACCAAGUCCGGUUCUUGAUAAGUGAUGUAAUUGCUAUAUGAGACCUCACGCCAAUAGCUACAUCCACUAUAUCAUUAAAAAGAGACCCGUUUUUCGUGUUUCCCUCAAAUCUCAACUCAUGUAUCAGUAGGAAAAAAUGUAUCACUUGGAAUGCACGUUCGCAUUGGGAGUUUUGUAUCUUUACCUACUUUAAUCUUUAUGAUUGGUCAAAUAGAAGAAAUUAAUAGUCCAAUUGCUGAAAAUAAUGGGAUGUAGUUCCUUCCAUACUCAAGAUGUAGGACUUGGAGGCACCAGGAAGUUAGAUCAUGCUUCUGCUGCUGAGGAGGACGAGAUGGAGCAGGAGGAUAACCCAAUAGUUCUGCUGCUUAGGAACAAUCUAACAGGAUGACGAUGAAGGAUUCGGUGUCUACGGGAUUGCUUAGCCUCCGGUCGGGAGAAAUACCUGCCCGGUUUGCCAGUGUUGGCAGCGGCGGCAUCUGCGGAUGUCGCUCCCUUCUUGGAGGCAUUGUCAAAGCCCUCGGCUGAUCCCCACCUUGAGCCCAGGGGAAACCCUAGGCCCACCGGACGGGAUGGCCAUGGCGUCUCGAUGUGGUCUUCCUUUUUGUAGGCGUUAUCUUGCUUCCUCGCGGUGUCCCUGAUUUUGGCUCUUGCGAUGUUGGUACCCUCACUGGUUCGGUGUUGCCGCUCUUGGUUUAGGCUUCGUAGGUCUAGCUGUGUUGCAUCCCUUUAUCGGGCCAGUAUCCCUUGUUUCCCUGCUCCAGGCACCAUGUUCACGCCUGCCUGUGUUCGUAUCAUGUGAUGUAUGCAAACCGUACUCAUUUUAUUCCUUCUAUCAAUGAAAUGAUACGCAAGCUUUGAUCGUAUCAUGCGACUGAUUGAUGAAUCACCAACCUAUCUAAUCUAACGACUAUCUAGUACCUUGCGAGAGUGGUAGUACCUGUUGGUAGUGGUGGUGAUCCAUGGCGUCAGUCAAACCGUCCAACUUUUGGCCGGUCGACGCACAACCGUACGAUUGACACCAGCACGCAUCGUUGGAUCACGUCUCUCCUCUGCCGGACAACUGUUGCCCCGAUUUAUUUUCCGGCCGCAUGCCCAAAUACACAACAUGCUUGCCCGUCUCUACGGCCCGCGACCAUCUUCUAUGGCCACCGUCCUCCCCUUCCCAUUGCACAUAGUCACGGCUCACCAUCGCUGUUUGCCAUAAUGUCGCUUGUUUAAGCAUCUCUUCCACGGGUCAUAACAAACUUGUUCACUGGUCGCAUAGAUUCCAAAAGGAAAACCCAAAAAGGCGUUAACUUAAUUUUGAAUGGUGUUUUUCUAAUGGAUGAUCGAACUAGAGUUAACAAAAGGCGUCAACUUACAACGGAAUGUGUCCCGUACAUUUGUUAGGAUGAUAUCUAUCAACCCUCAUACUAAAAGCACCCACACAGUUCAUUCAUCUACGAUUAGUGCUCUCUUGAAUUGGAUAUUUAAUGAAUUUGAUCUUACAACAGCCCUAACGUAGUCUUGUUCGCAUUGAACAAUAUUAUAAAGAGACAGUACAGUACGGAUCAAAUUAAUAAUUCAAACACACACAAUGUGUUUAUCUUUAUGUUUGUACAAUCUAUGCCACAUGGGUUCAGCUACUGCCAGAUCAUGAGAACACCAAGUCUGGUUAUUGAUAAGUGAUGUAAUUGCUAUCUGAGACCUCAUGCCAAUAGGUACAUCCACUAUCAUUAAAAGGAGACCCGUUUUUCGUGUUUCCCUCAAAGCUCCACUCCUGUAUCAUUAGGAAUGCACUCUCGCAUUCUGAAGCACACCGGGAGUUUCCUAUCUUUACCCAUUUUUAUUUUUAUGAUCGGCCAAAUAGAAGAAAUUAAUAGUCCAAUUGCUAAAAAUAAUGGGAUGUAGUUUCUUCCAUAUACUCAAGAUGUAGGGGUCGAAGGCACCAGGAAGUUAUAUCAUGCGACCACGAUCCGUGGAAGAAUACUCGUCUGGAUGUGGUGGAUUUGUAGUGAACCUGAGCUGAGUAGAGUCUCUCGUGGAUGAGGGCCACAUAUGCUCCUGGGGCAAAGAAAGCGCAUUACAGACCCUGAAGAUGCUACCAAACUCCCGUUGCCAAAAGCAAUCAAGCAACCACAUGUAAUGCACUAACGUAUGAGUGAUUGGACGGACUGUGUGACCCAUCUACUGGGUGUUCAUUGGCCUCAUUGUGUUCUUCAGGGGAUUAUUUCGGUUUUCAGAAUAAUUAGUCGAUUCAUUGGACAGGGUCUAGAGUCUUAGAAUGACAGAGACCGAAUGUUUAACUGUCUCAACUUUGUUCAGCAAUCUAAAAAUGAUUUUUCAUGGAAGGCCAUUGACCUGGACUGUGACUAGUGUGAGAGUUUCUACGAUAAUUGAUGAAGCUAUUUCAUCCUCAGGGUCACCCCUUAUUUUUAGUUUACGUAACAGUUCAAUUUAGAAAAUGCCAAGCACACAUGUAGUCCAUUCCUGCCAAAUUUCUUUAUAUAACUCUUUAAUUUACCCAUCUUAGUGCCCAAGGGGGAAUGACAUCAUUAACUCGAAAAAUAGACAAAUUUGAAGUCAAAAAACAUAUAAGCCACUUACCGGCAAAUUACAAGGAAAGCACAUUAAUCUGGAAUGUGGCGUAUGUGAGUACAUUACUAGGUAUAUAUGGAAAAAUAAGUUGAUAAUAACAUGUCCUUUAUUUUGGUGCUGCUUUCCAUAUGCUGCUGCCUUUAUUCUCCUACAAU